CAGUACCGUGAGGGAAAGGCGAAAAGAACCCCUGUGAGGGGAGUGAAAUAGAACCUGAAACCGUGUACGUACAAGCAGUGGGAGCCCUUCGGGGUGACUGCGUACCUUUUGUAUAAUGGGUCAGCGACUUACAUUUUGUAGCGAGGUUAACCGUAUAGGGGAGCCGUAGGGAAACCGAGUCUUAACUGGGCGUCUAGUUGCAAGGUGUAGACCCGAAACCGGGUGAUCUAGCCAUGGGCAGGUUGAAGGUUGAGUAACAUCAACUGGAGGACCGAACCCACUAACGUUGCAAAGUUAGGGGAUGACCUGUGGCUGGGGGUGAAAGGCCAAUCAAACUCGGAGAUAGCUGGUUCUCCCCGAAAGCUAUUUAGGUAGCGCCUCGGACGAAUACUACUGGGGGUAGAGCACUGUUUGGGCUAGGGGGUCAUCCCGACUUACCAACCCCAUGCAAACUCCGAAUACCAGUAAGUAAUAUCCGGGAGACACACGGCGGGUGCUAACGUCCGUCGUGAAGAGGGAAACAACCCAGACCGCCGGCUAAGGUCCCAAAGUUCUGGUUAAGUGGGAAACGAUGUGGGAAGGCUCAGACAGCUAGGAUGUUGGCUUAGAAGCAGCCAUCAUUUAAAGAAAGCGUAAUAGCUCACUAGUCGAGUCGGCCUGCGCGGAAGAUGUAACGGGGCUCAAACCAGGCACCGAAGCCGCGGAUUCACACUUAUGUGUGAGUGGUAGGGGAGCGUUCUGUAAGUCUGCGAAGGUGUAUCGAGAGGUAUGCUGGAGAUAUCAGAAGUGCGAAUGCUGACGUAAGUAACGAUAAAGGGGGUGAAAAGCCUCCUCGCCGGAAGACCAAGGGUUCCUGUCCAACGUUAAUCGGGGCAGGGUGAGUCGACCCCUAAGGCGAGGCCGAAAGGCGUAGUCGAUGGGAAGCAGGUUAAUAUUCCUGCACGACUUGUAAUUGCGAUGGGGGGACGGAGAAGGCUAGGUGGGCCAGGCGACGGUUGUCCUGGUGAAAGUGCGUAGGUGGUGUUUCUAGGCAAAUCCGGAGACACAACACUGAGACACGAGACGAACACACUACGGUGUGGAAGCCAUUGAUGCCCUGCUUCCAGGAAAAGCCUCUAAGCUUCAGAUUACAAGUCAUCGUACCCCAAACCGACACAGGUGGUCGGGUAGAGAAUACCAAGGCGCUUGAGAGAACUCGGGUGAAGGAACUAGGCAAAAUAGAACCGUAACUUCGGGAGAAGGUUCGCUCUUGACAGUGAAGUCCCUUGCGGAUGGAGCAGUUGGGAGUCGCAGUGACCAGAUGGCUGGGACUGUUUAUCAAAAACACAGCACUCUGCAAACACGAAAGUGGACGUAUAGGGUGUGACACCUGCCCGGUGCCGGAAGGUUAAUUGAUGGGGUUAGCGCAAGCGAAGCUCUUGAUCGAAGCCCCGGUAAACGGCGGCCGUAACUAUAACGGUCCUAAGGUAGCGAAAUUCCUUGUCGGGUAAGUUCCGACCUGCACGAAUGGCAUAAUGAUGGGGGCGCUGUCUCCAGCAGAGACUCAGUGAAAUCGAAUUCGCCGUGAAGAUGCGGUGUACCCGCGGCUAGACGGAAAGACCCCGUGAACCUUUACUACAGCUUGGCACUGAACAUUGAACCUACAUGUGUAGGAUAGGUGGGAGGCUUUGAAGGCGUGACGCCAGUUGCGCUGGAGCCGUCCUUGAAAUACCACCCUUGUAUGUUUGAUGUUCUAACGCAGGGCCCUGAAUCGGGCUCGCGGACAGUGCCUGGUGGGUAGUUUGACUGGGGCGGUCUCCUCCCAAAGAGUAACGGAGGAGCACGAAGGUUGGCUAAUCCUGGUCGGACAUCAGGAGGUUAGUGCAAUGGCAUAAGCCAGCUUGACUGCGAGCGUGACGGCGCGAGCAGGUGCGAAAGCAGGUCAUAGUGAUCCGGUGGUUCUGAAUGGAAGGGCCAUCGCUCAACGGAUAAAAGGUACUCCGGGGAUAACAGGCUGAUACCGCCCAAGAGUUCAUAUCGACGGCGGUGUUUGGCACCUCGAUGUCGGCUCAUCACAUCCUGGGGCUGAAGUCGGUCCCAAGGGUAUGGCUGUUCGCCAUUUAAAGUGGUACGCGAGCUGGGUUCAGAACGUCGUGAGACAGUUCGGUCCCUAUCUGCCGUGGGCGUUGGAUGAUUGAAGGGAGUUGCUCCUAGUACGAGAGGACCGGAGUGAACGAACCUCUGGUGUUCGGGUUGUCACGCCAGUGGCACUGCCCGGUAGCUAAGUUCGGAAUCGAUAACCGCUGAAAGCAUCUAAGCGGGAAGCGAGCCCUGAGAUGAGUCAUCCCUGACCCCUUGA
rnacentral:rRNA from 1 species